rnacentral:lncRNA from 1 species
CGCUACCUAACUCAAAACCCCAAAUUUAAUCAACUAACCAUUAACGGAUCAAUUAUCAUUUCAAUCCUGGGCUCAAAGAGCCCAGUCAACGUGAAGCACGUAUGAGCUAAAAACAACUCCCAAGAUGAAGACGGGCGGGCCUUUGCACGCCAGACCAGACUCAAUCCCAUAUCACUGUUAUGCUCUACCAAUAUCCCGAAAUUGCAUUCAAAUUAACGCUUAAACAUACUAACAAACCUCGUCCUACUAGAAGGGAUCAACAGUACUUUAAACUCAAGCUCUAAUGAAUUUCGUGCUUCAUAAACAAUUGAAACUUGAUAAUCACAUCUCGGCCCAACUUUUAGAGGAGUAUCCUGUUUACACACACUGGAGCCGUGAUAGAAAUAGAUAGUUCACGACUCAACUAUACUAUCAGCUAAAAGAAUUGCAAAUUAAGCUAUACUACUCGAGUUAACGACUAAAUGACUAAUUACUAGUUGGAAAUCCAACACUUGAGGGAACCAAGGAGAGGGUAGAAUGAGAGUUCACAGAUUGUUCAUACAUGACAAACAAACUUGGGAUUCCAUAUAUUGUUUCUACAAACAACCCACAUGGACUUUGGGAUUGACAUCUAUAUUACUAAUUAAAAAACAAAGCAUCAUGAAGGAAAUGUAGUUAAGCAUAAUCAGAACCUUAGCAGGAUUUUAGUACUGCCUUUCAUUCCUUCUUUAAAUCAAUAUGUACAUCUCGAAAGGUUCAAAGUUUGUACCUGGAAAAUAUAAUGACAAGAGAAAGGGAAGAGAGGUCAGCAGGUGGAAUAACAACAGCUCAGUGACAAAUUUAGCAGCCCAGCAAUGACUUAAUCACCACAACACCAACUAGAGCAGUUUUAAAUCGUAGUAAUUUCAAUAACCAACCAAAAAUAUUUCAGCAAUCAAAAACAGUUUGACUGAGUGCUUUCGAUCGAAAUACACCUUAAACUAACCCUCAGAAUGCCAUACCAAGGUACUACACUAAGUGUUUGACCAAACUAACUCAAAACCAAAGAAUCACCCAAAAUGGGAUAAGCAAAUCUUUGAAACUAUGGUAAUUAGAAAUUGAACUAAAACUUGCAAAUCAACAGCCGUAAGUUAAAAUUUACCCAAUGCUCGAUGGAACAAUAGUUUUCUUUCUGGAUUUUGAAGUCUUCUAUCUUUUUUUGGUUUUCUAUAUGAAGAAAGUUGGAAUCUAAGAGUAAUUCUGAUCAGAAUUUAAAUUAGAGAUCUGAGAGCUUUCAGGAAGGUUUUUUGGGCAUUCACCAGAUAAAUCCCAAAAUUCCUCCCUCCUCAAGGCCAAGAACAUGCCCUUUUAUGGGCACAAAAGAAAGCAAAUUCAGAUUUCUUCUUUACAAAAGAGUCCCUCCUUAUUUUUACUUGUUACUCAAGUAAGUUCCUCUUAUUUACUGAAAUCUAUACUAAAGUAUAUUCUAGAAGGUCCUAUACCCAUUACAAUUCCUAUACUACCCUUUCCCUACUUUGAAAUUACUAUUCCUAGAGAAAUUACCUUUUUCCGAUGCCCAAACUACCCUUGUUACCUCCUAAAAUUACUUUCCUUAAUCACCAUUACUCUAUCUAUUAACUGGAUUCUAAUUAACCAACAAUUAAAAUCUGAAUAUCCAAACUACACCAAACUACAAAUCGUUCCUAAUUCCACUUUACCAAACCAUCACCCAAACAAGAAUAACAAUCAACACUUGAAUAAGCUAGCUAAACUAACACACAAUCGUCAAAUACGAAAAGGAAAGAUCACAGAGAAUGAAUGAACAGGUAUCACAACGGCUACUGAAUUCAGAUAUUUUGUAUGAGCGAUAUAGAAAACUAAUCUGACUAAUUAAUUAAACUAGCAAUAAAUCAGAACCUAAAUCCUAUUAUUAACUAAAGUAGACAAAAUUAACUAAUAAGACUAAAAUCAUGUUUAAACUAAUAGGCGAGCAUGAAAUCUGAUUUAACUAUGAACAAAGCUCCCAGAAACCACCCGGAUUGAACGACAAGAAAAAAAAAGAAGAAAUUAAGCUUCACUAAUAAAAGUAAAAUCAGAAAACUCAAGAAAGCUUACUAUAGACAUUAUUCGUCCCUGAAACUUCCCAAAAUAAGCCCGACAACAUGAACCCUAGAAUUCUGCCUCCCUGUGAUUUGAGGUUCGAGCCGUUCUGUUGUCGUUUGACGAAAACCAGUAACAGAUUCUAGUAGAGGAGAACUAGAUGGUGGCUUGGUGAUAAUUUGGGGUCAUUUGGGAAAAUGAUGUCAUGGUCGGAAACUCUUUCAAUGAGUAUUCGAAGAGAUACAGGAGGAUUCAAGGGAAACUGAGGGUGGGAAUGGGAAGAGGAGAGCAAGGAGCGUUGGUGGUGUUAAUUGGGUGGCCGUUGGCGAGGUUCCGGCGAGGUUAGGAGGUGAUAUGAGGAAGAAAAUCCUAUCUUUUGGAUUAAUUAAAAUUUUCCGAUAGUUUAUAAUUAUUCACU